UAGGGAAUCUUCGGCAAUGGGGCAACCCUGACCGAGCAACGCCGCGUGAGUGAAGAAGGUUUUCGGAUCGUAAAGCUCUGUUGUAAGUCAAGAACGAGUGUGAGAGUGGAAAGUUCACACUGUGACGGUAGCUUACCAGAAAGGGACGGCUAACUACGUGCCAGCAGCCGCGGUAAUACGUAGGUCCCGAGCGUUGUCCGGAUUUAUUGGGCGUAAAGCGAGCGCAGGCGGUUUGAUAAGUCUGAAGUUAAAGGCUGUGGCUCAACCAUAGUUCGCUUUGGAAACUGUCAAACUUGAGUGCAGAAGGGGAGAGUGGAAUUCCAUGUGUAGCGGUGAAAUGCGUAGAUAUAUGGAGGAACACCGGUGGCGAAAGCGGCUCUCUGGUCUGUAACUGACGCUGAGGCUCGAAAGCGUGGGGAGCGAACAGGAUUAGAUACCCUGGUAGUCCACGCCGUAACGAUGAGUGCUAGGUGUUGGAUCCUUUCCGGGAUUCAGUGCCGCAGCUAACGCAUUAAGCACUCCGCCUGGGGAGUACGACCGCAAGGUU
rnacentral:rRNA from 1 species